GAUGAACGCUAGCUACAGGCUUAACACAUGCAAGUCGAGGGGCAGCAUGAACAUAGCUUGCUAUGUUUGAUGGCGACCGGCGCACGGGUGCGUAACACGUAUCCAAUCUGCCCGUUACUCGGGGAUAGCCUUCUGAAAGGAAGAUUAAUGCCCGAUAGCAUUCAUUGGCGGCAUCGCUUUUGAAUUAAAGAUUUAUUGGUAACGGAUGAGGAUGCGUACGAUUAGCUAGUUGGCGGGGUAACGGCCCACCAAGGCGACGAUCGUUAGGGGUUCUGAGAGGAAGGUCCCCCACACUGGAACUGAGACACGGUCCAGACUCCUGCGGGAGGCAGCAGUGAGGAAUAUUGGUCAAUGGGCGAGAGCCUGAACCAGCCAGGUAGCGUGAAGGAUGACUGCCCUACGGGUUGUAAACUUCUUUUGUUUGGGAAUAAAAGACGCUACGUGUAGCGUUCUGCAUGUACCUUACGAAUAAGCAUCGGCUAAUUCCGUGCCAGCAGCCGCAGUAAAAC
rnacentral:rRNA from 1 species